UGCUGGGCGGGCGGCGGCUCGGUGGGGUGGGGGAGUGCAGUGCAGUGCAGUCUGGGCCCGGCACCGACGGGUGCCACGGCCGGCACUUUUUUUAAUACUGUGGGUCCGGCGGGGGCUUCUCCUUCCCUUUCGGCCGCCCCAGCCGUGCCGCGCGCCCCAGGCCACACAAGUGGCGGCACAGGCGGGAGGGCGCGGGGGCUGCCAGGAGUUAAGAUGGCGCUGGGGGAGACGCGUCGUGCGGGGAACGGUGUUUGAGGAGAAACCCGAAAUUCGGCGGCUGCGGCGCAAAGUCCCGCAGCGCUCGGCAGUACAAGCUGCUCCCCUGGUGGCUGCUCUGGAGCCGUGGGCGCCCGUCGCGGGGUGCCGCUGACAGAUCCCUUGGGGCACCUCGGAAGCAGGCCCGGGCCUCCGCUCCGGAGGAGAAGGAGGAAUUAUUAGUGAUGCUAAAACCAGGUUUAAGUACGGCGCUUUGGCUAGCCUGUGCUUGCUAAGGAAGUGGGCUGGGGGGGUCAACAUCAAACGUGUGUGUAAAGCCUGGUGCGCGUUUUGACUUUGCUUUUUACGUUCGCUGGUUUUGAUGAGGGAAUUAUGGUAAUUUGUGCUGUGGGUGAAUUACUGUUUAACCUCCCUGCGCGCUCGCUGCAUGCGAGCUGGGUUGCCAGAGCUGGGCAGCUCUCUCGCCGGGAACCGAGACCACCAGAGAGGUGUAGUUAACCUGGUACAACAUCUGCCUGUCGGUGGGCGUGCAGCUGGACAGCAAUUGAGCUGCUUGUGUCUGCAGAAACAUUUACGGGUGUCACAGCUUCCUUAAGUUUCCUUAAGUAAUUAUUUCUAACAGGUAUGACUCUGCUUCUAGGUUUUUUUCUAAUUGGAACUCCAUUGGAACAACUUUGUGAUGAACACACAGGCUAAAUUUAGCCCUGGCAUAAGCAGGCACAGAUGCACUAACUUCAGCGGAGUUAUUCCUGCUGUUGCUGGGAAAGAGGUUGGCUAGUGUGUGAAAAAUCAAGAUUACACGAUACAGAGUAGGCACUCGUGAGAACGGACGUAGUGCUGCUGUAGCACAUGUGCAUCCAUUUAUGUCAGAGCCAAGUGCAGUGGUUCUGAGGAAUUUAAAAUAUAAAUAAUGGUGAAAUAAGAUUCCCUAAAACUCAUGGUAAAGAACUAUUCUAGCCAUUUUACAGAUAGCAAAACUGAAGCAGAAAGAGGUUAAGUGGCACCUCCUGCAAAAGCAAGGGGAAAAGGUCCCAAUAGAACUGAAGCCUCCAGGUUUCAAACCCCAUACUGUGUAUCUCUUGUGAUUCUUCACCUGGUUUGUGUGGUCCUUCACAAUGCUCCACAGCACAGCUAAGAACAUAAAUGCGUUCUUGGGGGGGGCUGGUGGUGUGUUCAGCCCCAUGGGCUCUCUGAUGAGCACAGGAGUUAAUCUGAAUUUCCAGAGUUCAAGUCCGGUACCUCCUGCAGCUCCAACAGUGGCAGUAGCAGACUGCUUUUCAGUGACAGGAUGCCAGUCUGAUCCCUUUCCACAGUCCCCUUCCCUUGUAGGCUGGCCCCUGGCACCCCUCUUUUGUCAUAGCCAUGAGGCAGUGAAUAAUGGUCUAGAUGGGCCAUGGGAUUGACCAGGAAGGGUGUAUUUUUUAUGUACUACUUUGCAGUACGGCUUAUCUUUUAUUGUUUGAAAUGUCGGGACGUGAACUACACUACAUAAUGACAAAGUAUACUCCACUGUCCUUUUCUACCAAUUUUCACAAAAGUGAAACAUGUCAAAAGCCACAGCUCUAGAACUCUUUAGAUUUUCAACCAGGUGUCUCUUGCUGUGGGUUUGAGACUACUUUGCCAUCUUUCAUCCAGCUUUCUGUUUCCACCUUGUUUUAAACAUUGUUUACAAGCAGCUUUAAAAGGCACAUGAGUAUUGGAAAAAAUUCACUGGUUUUGUCACAGCAGGAUCCCAGUCUCUUCUCUGGAGAAAAUACUUGUUCUGCCUCAGUGUAUUAAUUCAAGAGCUAGACUGCUAGUUCAUAAAGCAGUGCUCAGCUGCUAUUAUUGGUGAAAUCCUAGUACAGUGCUUACUGAGAAAUGCUUAUUUUUUUAAGAGAUCAGCUUGAAGAUGCAAAACAGUGACAAGAUAACCUGUCCCUUCAUGAGUGAAAUAAAUAUAUUUUCUAUUGAAAUUCAACAACCCUAUUAAAAGUAAGUAAAACAGGCAUUGCUGGAUCAGGUUUUCUACUGCAAAUAGUUAAAUGCAGGAAGUAAGGGGAUUUUUUUAAUCUCAGUUUAUUUUGUGUUGAAUAACCUGACUGACACUAAAUAUUUGAACCCAGUAGUAGAGUAGUAUUUUUUAAGAGGUUCUUAAUGUUUAAGAUUUAUCAUCUAUAAAUAGACCCUCUUAAGUCAUCAUUAAAUUAUCUUUAAUUGGUAUGACUGGAACUGCCAAGGAGUAUUACUGUUUGAUAGUAGAGUAAAUAAUACAAGUGUGAAUUUAUAUACAGUCUGCAUGAUACUAAAAAUGCUAAGUGCAGACUGCAAUUUAGAAACUUCAAAUAACUUGUCAGAGGGAACUUAAGGAGAAAAGUUUGUGUCUGAGAUAGCGAAGUGAGAUAAGGAAACUGGAAUUUUAAUAUGUGAAACAGAACAAAAAUAAAUCAUUUUUUUAGCAAGUAAUAUGUGAAGUUACUGCAAAUGAAGCACACAUUCCCUAUAACGUGGUGCAUGUCUGGACUUCUUCCCCGAGGAUGAGAAAGGCACAAACAGCUCCAGAAGACGACUGUUCUAAAUCCCAUCUUGGACUGUGAACUCCUUGGGGAAGAGGAGAUGGAUAUUCACAUCUGGACAAGCUGAUAUGAAACAUUUUUGCUUUUAGAAGUUGCAGUUCAGUAGCGCUGGAUUUAUAACAGCAUCUCUGUAUGUGUCUGUUGGCACAGUCGAUCAGUAGUUCACAGCCACAGGGCUCCAUCUGAGCCAAGUAACAGGACAACAUCGAUGUCCGAGAGAGAAAUUCUGAAAGAAAGUCAAGAAGGGCAGGAAACUCCCGCAAUCAAAUGACUCUCUGGGCAGGGACUCUUCAUUUCACGAUGCAGAAUGUGACUUCAAGAGAAUUCUCCAAUAAACAACUUCCCCGAAUAUUCUGGGGAUCAGAUCAGUUCAGUUCCCUACAAAAUUCACAGCUGUACACCUUCUGUGAAAAAUAGCAGCAAAACAUUCUUAAGCACCCACGUAUCUGAAAAGCUUAUGUCUUAUGUUCAGAAGUGUCUUGGUUUUCAUUGACUUUGAAGUUCUUUUAUGAUUUUUGAGAGUAUUUUGACUGUCUCUGUCUCUAAUAUGUGGGAAUGAGCACGUGUUACAUGACCAUCCAGCUCUUCAUAGAUUACAAGGAAGUGCAUUGGUAAGUUAAAAAUGUUGGUAUAGAAAAAAAUAAAAAUCAGGUUUAGCAACUAUGACUAAUGGGAACUUUACCAAAAAUAAUAGAAAUAAAUUUUUAAAAACCCCACUUAAUUUAUUCAACUACGUACUAUUAGGCACUCCCUGUCGUCUGUGUUACUGAACCACCAUCCUGCUCCAAAAGCAGUUAUCAGCCCAGAAGUAUUUUCAUCUGAGGGUUUAAACUGCAACAACUGUAAGGACACAUGGAAGAUUCUUCUGUCAUUAUCUAAACAUUCAGUUCUAAUGUGAGUGCUUGACUGGGAAGGUCUGUGACUAGUGGAGAUGGACAAACAGUUGGAGGGGAGGUAUUUGACUGUUUAAUAUAUGUGCCAAACUGUCUUUCUAGGGUCACGGAGACUCGGCAGUUCCUGGGGGCUGUCAAACUGAUUACACGCAGCAAACCAGCUGGUGUGUCUCUGCCUGCUGCUUAGAGUAAGCACUGAUAUGCCAGUCAGACCUUACUAUCAAAUACAAGCUUCUGUGUGCUUGAGAUGUUGUGCAGCCUUCAACUCCCUGGUGUAUUCAGUAAUUUAAAAGCUUUCAUAUAUUCUACAAAAUUUUGUCUUGCACUCCAAGGGGGAAUCUUUGUUCCUAACACAGAGCCCAAGUCUGCAAGUUCUUUGUGGAGGACCGGGCUCCCAGCAUAGAUGUACAAUUGUUAAGCAGUUGGUUGCAUUUCAGCAGUGGUAAAAUGAUCCUUGUCUUAUAUUUCUCUACAACAAUUUCUGUAAAGGCUGUGAGAUUCUUUGGGAUGGAAGGCUAUAAAAACGUAAGUUGCUAUUAUUUAUAUUGACUUGCAUGAUUUUACAAAUGCCCAUUUUGCAUUGCAGAAGUACUUAGAAGGAAAUGUACUCUUCUUUCUUUCCACACUUCAUUACAUUGUAUUUAAGAGGAUUUAGCACAUUUUCAUAUUUCACUUGCUUAAUGGGGGUUCGUGUUUAAAAUUUAUAGCUGACUUGACAUUCCAGAAACUAAGCGUGAUUACCAAUUAUGUCUCUGUCUUGUAUUAACAUACCUAAGGGAAGAAAUACUGGGAGAUCUGAACUUUUACAUCAAGCAGCAAAUACAAGAUUAUCUUUAUGAAGCUGUUUAUUCAGUUCUUGAGAAAAACAUACAGUUACUGCUACACUCUAUGUAAACUGUAAGACCAUUAAUCAUGAUUAGCUGCUGCCAACCCCCCUCCCAUAUAUCCAAAUAUGCAUAAAGGAAAACUAGUACAUAUUUUCUUCAUUCAUCUGACAAAGUCAUUGCCAUCCUGAAGGCUGCAAAGAUCUAACUCCCUGAUUUGUCAACACCAGAUUACUGCGUGUGGCAUCUUUCACACUCAGUGCAUGAGUAUAGUUUUGCAACUUGAACCGUAAAACCUGAAGUUCAAACAAAAGCAGGAAUACUUUUCUUUGGAGUGAAGCAGGGAAAAGAGCUAUUUGUGAUAUAGGCAGCACAGCUAUUUGGGCAGGAUAGUUCAGAAAAAUAUGUUACUGCUCUAUUAUGUUUAAUGCCAUCAGAGCUGAGAAAGGUCUUACAAGAUGAGAGGAGGAGGACAUCAUCUUCUCUAAAUACAUUCACACCCGCCCUACAUCAUAGGAUUAUAACUGUGCAUUUUAACCCCUCAACAGUUAUUCAAGGACUAAAAUUGUCCUAGAGGUUAGUUCCAGAUAAUAAAAAACAUUAGAAAGAAGCAUUGGGAGGUAACUGAAUACUUAUAAAUUAAACCUCUGAGUCUUUAUUAUUUUUUCUUAGAGUAUCAGGGAUAUUAAACACAGUUGCAUAUUAGCUAUAAGCAUCACAUCUCAUUUCUGGAAAUCUUUUCUAACAGCAGGUAACGCAUGUAGCAACAAGGCUUUAUACCAUCUAGAUAUUAUUUUCCUUCCUUUGUAAUAAAACUACACAGGUUUUGGGGUACCUACACAGAGGAACAGCUUCAGACUGAGCUGAGAGUUGUGCUGCUACUUGCUUCUUCACAAAUAUUUGAGUCAUGUUCCUCCUGAGCGUACAUGUUCACAAUGCAGCAAGAACAAACAGUGAAUCAAUUCAGCUGCAAAAGCUGCUGGAGUUGCUCUGCUUUCAUCAUUCCUAGGGCUCAACAACUACUCUAACUCAGUGGCUUAGUUUUACAACUUCAUUUCUCUGUAAAGUGAGGAGAGUGCAGGGAGGGCAUCAUACUGUGGAUUGUUGUCAAAUUCUUUGAGCCAGGCCCCAAAAGCAUGUAAGCACCUGUUGUUUUGAGAUAAUUUACGAAAAGAACCCAGAAGUUGACUGCAGUUGAACUGUGCAAGUGAGGCUCUCUUUUGAAAAGCAAAAAAUACAGGCUGUUAAAGCAAUUGUACCUGGUCAGCUGGAGUGAAAGGAUCUAUAAUUGGAGAAGUAUUGAUGUUAACAUAAUUCUCCUAACAGGAAGAGAACUAAGGAAGGGUUAAGACAAAAGGUUUAUUAGGAAGCUGGGGACAGCACACCACCAGCACUAAACUGAAGAAUGCAAGGAAAAAAGGAAAGUAACUAUGGGAAAGAACACUACUUCCUCCAAAAAAAAAAAAAACUUUCUGCCUUCUCUUUUUGCAUGAAAGUAUAGGUUUGUACUCUGUGUCUCAAAAUUAAAUAUAUUUUAAAAGUUA